GUUGGAGCGUCACAACCCCUUUGGGCCGUCUGGGUCUACAGUGGACGUGGGGCUAGACACCGACAUCUGGUCUUCUCCACCUUCCCACCUAACGGAAUACGAGAUCGUGGACACUUGGACGCCUUCAUCUUCUCCUGUGACCUGCUACGAAAGAGACAUUCUAACUCUCCAUGGUGGUGAUGAAUUGGACUUUUGGUAGUCGGAAUUUAGGUUUUUCUGCGAAGCCCCGUCCGAUCUCACGGAGGGGGUGUCGAGAAAUCUGGUAUGAGUAUGUGAGAUCUGUCCAGGUACACGCAGAAAAACGGGAUAAAGGCCUGAGGAAUAACAGUAUACCCUGAAUAAUGAUUAAAUGAUGAUUAU